UAUUAUUUUUGCUCUUUUUCAGACGUCAUUCCUGGUUCAACUGUGAAACUCUACCGUAAAGGAAAGAGAGUGAAAAAGUUUGAAGUUGCUGUCGCUAAUGAUACUGUCACCAUUACCUUCAAAAAACAUAAAUUGAGUGACAGUGGAAUAUACCAUCUCGCUUUGUGUCACAACAACAACGAAGACAGCGUACUGUUGAAUUUGUCCUUCCACAGAAUGAUCAAAAAGAAGAUCGAUUUCUACUCUCACUUGCCAAAACCAAAAGGUGAGAAAUAUUGGAACUUCUUCGAGAACAAGGGCAAAUUUUACGGAUAUCAGAAGCGAUUCAACCUUUAGGUUGAAAAUGAGGAAAUGCCGAAAAAUGUCUAAGAAGACAUACAGUCUAAGAAGACGUUUGUACAUAUGUUGAUGAUUUAUGUUAUUAUUUAUUCUUAUUUAUUCCUAUUUAUUCUUAUUUAUUCAUAUAUAUCCUGAGUUGCACUGUGCGCCCAAAAUUUUUUGUACAUAAUAAAACC